rnacentral:rRNA from 1 species
AUGAAGCUGGAUUCGCUAGUAAUCGCGCAUCAGCCAUGGCGCGGUGAAUACGUUCCCGGGCCUUGUAUACACCGCCCGUCAAGCCAUGGGAGUCGGGAGUGCCUGAAGUUCGUGACCGUUUAGGAGCGACUUAGGGCAAGACUGAUGACUGGGGCUAAGUCGUAACAAGGUAUC